UACAGAGGAUGCAAGCGUUAUCCGGAAUGAUUGGGCGUAAAGCGUCCGCAGGUGGUUUUGUAAGUCUGCUGUUAAAGCGUUAGGCUCAACCUAAUAAGGGCAGUGGAAACUAUGAGACUAGAGUAUGUUAGGGGUAGAGGGAAUUCCCAGUGUAGCGGUGAAAUGCGUAGAGAUUGGGAAGAACACCGGUGGCGAAAGCGCUCUGCUAGGACAAUACUGACACUGAAGGACGAAAGCUAGGGGAGCGAAUGGG
rnacentral:rRNA from 1 species